UCUCAAUCUAUUCUGUAGCGCCAAGCGUUCACUCAAGAAGGCCUCCAGUGUGGAGGAGAAGCGUUCAAAGUGCUGUACAACUACAACCCUCACAACGAGGACGAGCUGGAGCUGACGGAGGGAGACACCAUCGACGUGAUGGAGCAGUGUGACGACGGCUGGUUUGUAGGCACUUCCAGACGGAGCCGUUUCUUUGGGACAUUUCCAGGGAAUUACGUCAGACGUCUGUGACCUCUGACCCCGUAGGCUGACCAGCGAUCAAAUUUAUUUUCUGUGUGUGUGUGUGUUUGUGUGUUUGUGUAUGUGUCUGUGUGUGUGUCUGCAUGGUGUGUAUUUGUUGGUGUCCUUGCAUCAUCCCCAAUGUAAUGUGAUGACCUUUACUUAUUAUUUAUUCUUUUGAAAGCAAUCUAUUUUAUUUUUGUUAAUAAUGUUGUCAAAAAGUGUGUCAUGUUUGUGGAACGGACAAGUGUCAAGGAAUUCUCAGCGAUAGGAUUAGAUUAAGAUUGUGUUGUUUCCAGAGAUUUCCUUUAAUAAGGAAUAUGUGUGUACACAAUGUAUGCUUUAGAUGUUGGCUUAUUUAAGAGCAGAUCACUGCCAUUCAUGCUGAAAAGGUGUAGGAAUACGAUCGGAAGAUGCUAGCAUUGCUAUGUGAAAUAACCAGUCUGCAACAGUUAGUUGUGGAACGGACUAAAUAUGAAUAUGGAACUGCUUUUCUGAAGCAAGACAUAUGAAAUAACAUGUUUUAUAACUUAAAAGUCAACGUGAGAGGCAAGGGAGUAUCUGGUAAUUACAAGAAGUGGAAACAUAUAUCCGUCAAAUGCUUUCUGUGACUGACUGCCAGCACACCAGCUGCAAAACCUAUCUGGAUGUUAUCCUCGGUCAGUGCAGAUCCACUCUGGAAUGACAUUUAUUUUUUUCCAUUGUUUUUGAAAUAGAAGAGAUA